AAUCUAAAAUCAGUGUUAAAUUCUUUUUCGGUCAAUUUUGGGUUUCGGCACGGUGGCAUUGCCGUGCUCCGAUGACUGCACUGCCGCUCACGGUGGCAAUUUGCCUCGACUUAGCUGUUUUUGGCCCUUUUUGGCUAGUUUUAUACUUAUCCCUACGAGAAAAUAUGUUAGGGGACCUCAGUUGGCCGAAAAAAAUAAAAAAUAUAAAUCUAC
rnacentral:lncRNA from 1 species